UACGGAGGAUCCGAGCGUUAUCCGGAUUUAUUGGGUUUAAAGGGUGCGUAGGCGGCCUUGUAAGUCAGGGGUGAAAGACGGUAGCUUAACUAUCGCAGUGCCUUUGAUACUGAUGGGCUUGAAUGUACUUGAGGUAGGCGGAAUGUGACAAGUAGCGGUGAAAUGCAUAGAUAUGUCACAGAACACCAAUUGCGAAGGCAGCUUACUAAAGUAUGAUUGACGCUGAGGCACGAAAGCGUGGGGAUCAAACAGG
rnacentral:rRNA from 1 species